rnacentral:rRNA from 1 species
UACAGAGACUGCAAGCGUUAUUCGGAUUCACUGGGCGUAAAGGGUGCGCAGGCGGUCCUGUGAGUCAGAUGUGAAAUCCCGGAGCUUAACUCCGGAACUGCGUCUGAAACUACACGACUAGAGCAUUGGAGAGGGAAGUGGAAUUCAUGGUGUAGCAGUGAAAUGCGUAGAUAUCAUGAGGAACACCAGAGGCGAAGGCGACUUCCUGGACAAUUGCUGACGCUCAGGCACGAAAGCAUGGGGAGCAAAAGGG